AGGACGAACGAUGGCGGCGUGCUUAACACAUGCAAGUCGAGCGGAAAGGCCCUUCGGGGUACUCGAGCGGCGAACGGGUGAGUAACACGUGAGUAAUCUGCCCCUAGCUCUGGGAUAGCUCCGGGAAACCGGGAUUAAUACCGGAUACGACCACCUUAGACAUCUUUUGUGGUGGAAAGAAUUUCGGCUAGGGAUGAGCUCGCGGCCUAUCAGCUUGUUGGUGGGGUAACGCCUACCAAGGCGACGACGGGUA
rnacentral:rRNA from 1 species